UUCUUGUGAAGCUGCCUCCUGAGCCUUGUCUCCUCGAGUUUGCCUCUUAGAAGAAUUUCCUUCUCUAGUAUCAUCAAAAUUUCCUCGUCUCUUUUCUUCCAUCAAAGCUUCAUGUUGGCUCUUAGCAAUAUAUGCAUGAACUGAAAGAGACUCAACAGGAUCCUCCCAACUUGUUCUUCCUCAUAUUGUAGCUGCAGUUCUCAAUAAC
rnacentral:lncRNA from 1 species